GUGCUCACCUCGGCAGCACGUAGACUAAAAUUGGAACAAUACAGAGAAGAUUAGCACGGCUCCUGCACAAGAAGAAAAAAGAAACGCAGAUCUAGGCACUGGUGUC